rnacentral:piRNA from 1 species
UAAGGGUUAAUUAUUAAGUCACUUGAUUGGU